GUCGCAAGACCAAAGUGGGGGACCUUCGGGCCUCAUGCCAUCAGAUGUGCCCAGAUGGGAUUAGCUAGUAGGUGGGGUAACGGCUCACCUAGGCGACGAUCCCUAGCUGGUCUGAGAGGAUGACCAGCCACACUGGAACUGAGACACGGUCCAGACUCCUACGGGAGGCAGCAGUGGGGAAUAUUGCACAAUGGGCGCAAGCCUGAUGCAGCCAUGCCGCGUGU
rnacentral:rRNA from 1 species